UACGAAGGGGGCUAGCGUUGUUCGGAUUUACUGGGCGUAAAGCGCACGUAGGCGGAUCGUUAAGUCGGGGGUGAAAUCCUGGAGCUCAACUCCAGAACUGCCUUCGAUACUGGCGAUCUUGAGUCCGGAAGAGGUGAGUGGAACUCCUAGUGUAGAGGUGGAAUUCGUAGAUAUUAGGAAGAACACCAGUGGCGAAGGCGGCUCACUGGACCGGAACUGACGCUGAGGCGCGAAAGCGUGGGGAGCAAACAGG
rnacentral:rRNA from 1 species